GACGAACGCUGGCGGCGUGCUUAACACAUGCAAGUCGAACGGAAAGGCCCUGCUUUUGUGGGGUGCUCGAGUGGCGAACGGGUGAGUAACACGUGAGUAACCUUCCCUUGACUUUGGGAUAACUUCAGGAAACUGGGGCUAAUACCGGAUAGGAGCUCCUGCUGCAUGGUGGGGGUUGGAAAGUUUCGGCGGUUGGGGAUGGACUCGCGGCUUAUCAGCUUGUUGGUGGGGUAGUGGCUUACCAAGGCUUUGACGGGUAGCCGGCCUGAGAGGGUGACCGGCCACAUGGGGACUGAGAUACGGACCAGACUGCUACGGGAGGCAGCAGUGGGGAAUAUUGCACAAUGGGCGGAAGCCUGAUGCAGCAACGCCGCGUGCGGGAUGAAGGCCUUCGGGUUGUAAACCGCUUUAGCCUGUGACGAAGCGUGAGUGACGGUAAUGGGUAAAGAAGCACCGGCUAACUACGUG
rnacentral:rRNA from 1 species